rnacentral:rRNA from 3 species
GACUCGUCACACUAUCAUUAACUGAAUCCAUAGGUUAAUGAGGCGAACCGGGGGAACUGAAACAUCUAAGUACCCCGAGGAAAAGAAAUCAACCGAGAUUCCCCCAGUAGCGGCGAGCGAACGGGGAGGAGCCCAGAGCCUGAAUCAGCAUGUGUGUUAGUGGAAGCGUCUGGAAAGGCGCGCGAUACAGGGUGACAGCCCCGUACACAAAAGCGCAUGUGCUGUGAGCUCGAUGAGUAGGGCGGGACACGUGGUAUCCUGUCUGAAUAUGGGGGGACCAUCCUCCAAGGCUAAAUACUCCUGACUGACCGAUAGUGAACCAGUACCGUGAGGGAAAGGCGAAAAGAACCCCGGCGAGGGGAGUGAAAAAGAACCUGAAACCGUGUACGUACAAGCAGUGGGAGCACCCUUUGGGGUGUGACUGCGUACCUUUUGUAUAAUGGGUCAGCGACUUAUAUUCUGUAGCAAGGUUAACCGAAUAGGGGAGC